rnacentral:misc_RNA from 1 species
AAGUCGUAACAAGGUUUCCGUAGGUGAACCUGCGGAAGGAUCAUUACCGAGUUCAUGCCCUAUAAACGGGUAGAUCUCCCACCCUUUGUAUAUCUUUACCUUUGUUGCUUUGGCGGGCCGCCUAGCUACUGGCUUCGGCUGGUAAGUGCCCGCCAGAGGACCCAAAACCCUGAAUUAUUAGUGUCGUCUGAGUAAAAUAUUUAAUAUUUAAAACUUUCAACAACGGAUCUCUUGGCUCUG